AUGUGGAUGCGGCAGAGCCCCGGGAAGGUGCUGGAAAAGGUCGCCUAUAUCAGCUUCAACAGUUCAGAAAUUUCCUACGCACUGUCACCUCCAGCCCCCGGGGGGUCCCUGACUCUGCUCUGCCAUGGAUCUGGGUUCGAUUUUGGGAACUACGAAAUCUACUGGAUCCGCCAGAGCCCUGGGCAGGUGCUGGAAUGGAUCGCACAGAUCAACAGCGCUGGUGACAACUCCGAGUACGCGCCGUCAGUCAAGGGUCGGUUCUCGAUCUCCAGGGACAACGGGCAGAGCUCGGUGACGCUGACCAUGAACAACCUCAAGGACGAGGAUUCCGCCGUUUACUUCUGCGCCAGAUGUUACACCAAUAACUGUGAAUGGGCGGCUUCUGCUGUUUUUGAUUUCGCACAUGGUGUCGGCUGUGGCCCAAUGCGGGAAGAGCUGGCUCACCAUAUGUCCUAA